rnacentral:rRNA from 1 species
AUUGAACGCUGGCGGCAUGCCUUACACAUGCAAGUCGAACGGCAGCACGGGAGCAAUCCUGGUGGCGAGUGGCGAACGGGUGAGUAAUAUAUCGGAACGUGCCCAGUCGUGGGGGAUAACGCAGCGAAAGCUGUGCUAAUACCGCAUACGAUCUAUGGAUGAAAGCGGGGGACCGCAAGGCCUCGCGCGAUUGGAGCGGCCGAUAUCAGAUUAGCCAGUUGGUGGGGUAAAGGCCCGCCAAGGCGACGAUCUGUAGCUGGGCUGAGAGGACGACCAGACACACGGGAACUGAGACACGGUCCAGACUCAUGCGGGAGGCAGCGGUGGGGAAUUUUGGACAAUGGGCUCAAGCCUGAUCCAGCAAUGCCGCGUGCAGGAUGAAGGCCUUCGGGUUGUAAACUGCUUUUGUCAGGGAAGAAAUCCCUUGGGUUAAUACCUCGGGGGGAUGACGGUACCUGAAGAAUAAGCACCGGCUAACUACGUGCCAGCCGCCGCCGUAACAC